UCCAUAAUAAUAAAUAUAAACUAAAUACCCUAAACAAAACAAUAACACUUGAACUUGUGCUCCUGCCGUCGAACGAGUAUAUAGCAUCAAAGCAAUUUUAAUCAUCACUUUGUCAAGCAAUUUUUGGUAUUUUAAGGAGUGAUCAUCAACUUUGGUGAUUCUAGCGACCUUGUUGGACUUUGCAUAACUACUUGAUUGUUGAGGUAAUAAUAAUGCUUAAGGAGACUGAGCAUAUGGGCUUUAGGAAGACCAAUAAAGAGAUCAUUCAUGGACUCCUUGCUACAUUUCUUUUGUUAUUUGAGCCGUGUUGCCUAGACUUAUCCCGCUAGUGGGAAUCACAAAUAUUUGGAUUUCAUUUAGUAUGACUCUAUUAUAAA